UUAAGCGACUAAGCGUACACGGUGGAUGCCCUGGCAGUCAGAGGCGAUGAAGGACGUGCUAAUCUGCGAAAAGCGUCGGUAAGGUGAUAUGAACCGUUAUAACCGGCGAUGUCCGAAUGGGGAAACCCAGUGCAAUUCGUUGCACUAUCGUUAACUGAAUACAUAGGUUAACGAGGCGAACCGGGGGAACUGAAACAUCUAAGUACCCCGAGGAAAAGAAAUCAACCGAGAUUCCCCCAGUAGCGGCGAGCGAACGGGGAGCAGCCCAGAGUCUGAAUCAGCUUGUGUGUUAGUGGAACGGUCUGGAAAGUCCGACGGUACAGGGUGAUAGUCCCGUACACCAAAAUGCACAGGUUGUGAACUCGAAGAGUAGGGCGGGACACGUGGUAUCCUGUCUGAAUAUGGGGGGACCAUCCUCCAAGGCUAAAUACUCCUGACUGACCGAUAGUGAACCAGUACCGUGAGGGAAAGGCGAAAAGAACCCCGGCGAGGGGAGUGAAAAAGAACCUGAAACCGUGUACGUACAAGCAGUGGGAGCACCUUCGGGUGUGACUGCGUACCUUUUGUAUAAUGGGUCAGCGACUUAUAUUCUGUAGCAAGGUUAACCGUAUAGGGGAGCCGCAGGGAAACCGAGUCUUAACUGGGCGUUAAGUUGCAGGGUAUAGACCCGAAACCCGGUGAUCUAGCCAUGGGCAGGUUGAAGGUUGGGUAACACUAACUGGAGGACCGAACCGACUAAUGUUGAAAAAUUAGCGGAUGACUUGUGGCUGGGGGUGAAAGGCCAAUCAAACCGGGAGAUAGCUGGUUCUCCCCGAAAGCUAUUUAGGUAGCGCCUCGUGAAUUCAUCUUCGGGGGUAGAGCACUGUUUCGGCUAGGGGGUCAUCCCGACUUACCAACCCGAUGCAAACUACGAAUACCGAAGAAUGUUAUCACGGGAGACACACGGCGGGUGCUAACGUCCGUCGUGAAGAGGGAAACAACCCAGACCGCCAGCUAAGGUCCCAAAGUCAUGGUUAAGUGGGAAACGAUGUGGGAAGGCACAGACAGCCAGGAUGUUGGCUUAGAAGCAGCCAUCAUUUAAAGAAAGCGUAAUAGCUCACUGGUCGAGUCGGCCUGCGCGGAAGAUGUAACGGGGCUAAACCAUGCACCGAAGCUGCGGCAGCGACACUAUGUGUUGUUGGGUAGGGGAGCGUUCUGUAAGCCUGCGAAGGUGUGCUGUGAGGCAUGCUGGAGGUAUCAGAAGUGCGAAUGCUGACAUAAGUAACGAUAAAGCGGGUGAAAAGCCCGCUCGCCGGAAGACCAAGGGUUCCUGUCCAACGUUAAUCGGGGCAGGGUGAGUCGACCCCUAAGGCGAGGCCGAAAGGCGUAGUCGAUGGGAAACAGGUUAAUAUUCCUGUACUUGGUGUUACUGCGAAGGGGGGACGGAGAAGGCUAUGUUAGCCGGGCGACGGUUGUCCCGGUUUAAGCAUGUAGGCUGAUUGUCCAGGCAAAUCCGGAUAAUCAAGGCUGAGGUGUGAUGACGAGGCACUACGGUGCUGAAGUAACAAAUGCCCUGCUUCCAGGAAAAGCCUCUAAGCAUCAGGUAACAUCAAAUCGUACCCCAAACCGACACAGGUGGUCAGGUAGAGAAUACCAAGGCGCUUGAGAGAACUCGGGUGAAGGAACUAGGCAAAAUGGUGCCGUAACUUCGGGAGAAGGCACGCUGGUGUGUAGGUGAAGUCCCUGCGGAUGGAGCUGAGACCAGUCGAAGAUACCAGCUGGCUGCAACUGUUUAUUAAAAACACAGCACUGUGCAAACACGAAAGUGGACGUAUACGGUGUGACGCCUGCCCGGUGCCGGAAGGUUAAUUGAUGGGGUUAUCCGUAAGGAGAAGCUCUUGAUCGAAGCCCCGGUAAACGGCGGCCGUAACUAUAACGGUCCUAAGGUAGCGAAAUUCCUUGUCGGGUAAGUUCCGACCUGCACGAAUGGCGUAAUGAUGGCCAGGCUGUCUCCACCCGAGACUCAGUGAAAUUGAACUCGCUGUGAAGAUGCAGUGUACCCGCGGCAAGACGGAAAGACCCCGUGAACCUUUACUAUAGCUUGACACUGAACAUUGAGCCUUGAUGUGUAGGAUAGGUGGGAGGCUUUGAAGCGUGGACGCCAGUCUGCGUGGAGCCAACCUUGAAAUACCACCCUUUAAUGUUUGAUGUUCUAACGUUGGCCCCUGACCGGGGUUGCGGACAGUGUCUGGUGGGUAGUUUGACUGGGGCGGUCUCCUCCCAAAGCGUAACGGAGGAGCACGAAGGUUAGCUAAUCCUGGUCGGACAUCAGGAGGUUAGUGCAAUGGCAUAAGCUAGCUUGACUGCGAGCGUGACGGCGCGAGCAGGUGCGAAAGCAGGUCAUAGUGAUCCGGUGGUUCUGAAUGGAAGGGCCAUCGCUCAACGGAUAAAAGGUACUCCGGGGAUAACAGGCUGAUACCGCCCAAGAGUUCAUAUCGACGGCGGUGUUUGGCACCUCGAUGUCGGCUCAUCACAUCCUGGGGCUGAAGUAGGUCCCAAGGGUAUGGCUGUUCGCCAUUUAAAGUGGUACGCGAGCUGGGUUUAGAACGUCGUGAGACAGUUCGGUCCCUAUCUGCCGUGGGCGCUGGAGAAUUGAGGGGGGCUGCUCCUAGUACGAGAGGACCGGAGUGGACGCAUCACUGGUGUUCGGGUUGUCAUGCCAAUGGCACUGCCCGGUAGCUAAAUGCGGAAGAGAUAAGUGCUGAAAGCAUCUAAGCACGAAACUUGCCCCGAGAUGAGUUCUCCCUGAGACUUUAAGUCUCCUGAAGGAACGUUGAAGACGACGACGUUGAUAGGCCGGGUGUGUAAGCGCAGCGAUGCGUUGAGCUAACCGGUACUAAUGAACCGUGAGGCUUAACCUU
rnacentral:rRNA from 3 species